GACGAACGCUGGCGGCGUGCUUAACACAUGCAAGUCGAACGGGAAGGCCCUGCUUUUGUGGGGUGCUCGAGUGGCGAACGGGUGAGUAACACGUGAGUAACCUGCCCUUGACUUUGGGAUAACUUCAGGAAACUGGGGCUAAUACCGGAUAGGAGCUCCUGCUGCAUGGUGGGGGUUGGAAAGUUUCGGCGGUUGGGGAUGGACUCGCGGCUUAUCAGCUUGUUGGUGGGGUAGUGGCUUACCAAGGCUUUGACGGGUAGCCGGCCUGAGAGGGUGCCCGGCCACUUGGGGAUGGAGAACGGGCCCAGACCCCUACGGGGGGCAGGGGGGGGGAAUUUGGCACAGGGGGCGGAAGCCUGAGGGAGAAACCCCGGGGGCGGGAGGACGGCCUUCGGGUUGAAAACCGCUUUCGCCUGUGACGAAGGGUGAGGGAGGGUAAUGGGGAAAGAAGCACCGGCGAACUAGGG
rnacentral:rRNA from 1 species